UUUAAUUUAUUAUAAUUUCAAACAUUCUAAAUUAUUAUAAUUAAAUUUUAGAGUCCAAUUUAGUUGACUAAAUACUAAUCUUUCACUGAUGUGUUAAUGAUGAGGCGUCUUAGUAAUUGCAAUGUUAUUGAUCAAAUACUAUCACUUUGCUGUUAUAUGAGCGACACAUUAUUAUUUAAUCAAUCAAAUUUGACUGUAGUACUUAAUUACUAUAAUUUAAAAAGUUUGAGCCAAAAACCUCAACAAAUUAAAGUUCGUAGACGCAAGUGUUACAAUCCUCAAAGUUUGAGGACCUAAAACGCAAAUUAGCAUGUAUAAAAUUAUACUACAAUACUUAAAAGAACGAAGUCCUUAAUACUUCCACAUCAUUUAUAAUAAUUGAGCAUUCGAAUCGACAAUCAAUAUCGUUAAGUAUGAUCCACAAUAUUUGAAAACUAAAUUUAGUGAUUUUUCGGCAUAAUUUACCUAGUAGUAAAAUAGUUUCAAAUAUAUCUUAUAUUUUCCAUUGAAAAUUAUUAAUUUUCAGACCACUUAAAUAACAGAUAAAUAAUAUCAAAAUUUAACACACUAACUAAUAUUUAGAACCAGUAAUCAUGAAUAAAUUUUUAUUAUAUUUUUAAAUUUAUAUGGAUUUAGAAAUAUGCCAUAUUUUUUCGUAACUCGAAACAUUUUAAAGGAUCAUUGUUAGGAAAAUGUAGUUAGGGUUCUGGUUAAGAAUAGUAUAAUGAGUUAAUGACCAUUUAAUCCUUAUAUUAAUUAAGUUUGACUAAUACCUAUAUAUAGCCUAUUAACUAAAAUAGUAGAUUGUAAUAAACUUUAAAAUUUCAUCUCUUUUGUUCCCAUAAAUUAAUAGAGGCUAAUUAGUUUGGUCAUUUUACUAAAUUUAGUAGCUAAUUUAAACCUUAAUUACAUUAGCAUAUUAUCCUCCAUUUGUUUUACCCCUGUUUUAAUUGAGAAAAAAUAUAUAUAUAAUUGUUUCUCUAUUUGAUAAGCUUCAAAGGUUAAUUAUUCCUUGCCUAAUGCUAUAUUUGGAAUUUGUAAAAAAAAUGCGUUACGUGUGGUUUUAAAGUUAAAAGGGAAAACUUCAAAUACCACCCUUGUGAUUUCACAUUUUCACAUUUUAGUAUCAUAUGGUUUAAAAUGUAUCAAUUUAAUAUCCCGUGAUUUUAUUUUUAUCUUUUUAUUAUCGAUUUUAUUAAUUUUUUUCGUUAAAUCAGUGACAAAAUUAAAAGUAAAGGGUACUAACGUGAAUAUUUGAUAAAUUUAGAUAGGUAUCUAAAGUUUUUUUUGUAUAUAAUUUAACGAAAUAUUAACAAAAAAGUUGCUGAAAAAAUAAAAAUGAAACCAUAAGACACUAACUUGAUACACUUUAAAUCAUAGGGUAUUAAAGUGAGAGAGUACGAAACCAAGGGGUGGUAUUUGCAGUUUACCCAAGUUAAAAAGAAAACAUUGUUAAUACGAGGGCAUUGCAAAAAAAAAAGCAUUGCUUAUGGCUAAAAUGUGAGAUGAAAAAAAUAUUCCAUUUAUUUUUCUAAAAUAUAGUACAUCGUUUGGUUAAAAAUGAAAAAUGAAAAAUGAAAAAUGAAAAAUGAAAAAUGAAAUCAAAAUAAAAAUCAAAAUAGACAGAAAUAAAAAACGGAAUGAUACAACCUCUCAAUAUAUUUGGUUCAGAAUAACAAUAAGAAUCGGUAUAGUUGAUUCAUGGUUUCAAUAUUUCAAAAAUUUUGAUUGUCAAAAAAAUAAUUAAAGAACAAACUAUAAAAAUAAUUUAAAAUUUAGUUUGUACCUCAAAACAUAAAAUUAAAUUUAUAAUUUAGAUUCAAAUUAAAAAUUAAAUAUUAAAAAUUUACAUUAAAAUAUUAAAAUGAUAAGCCAAAAUUUUAAAUGUAACUUUAAAAAAAUUUAAAAAUUUAAAAUUGAGCGGACAAUUCAAAAUGUAAAACUAAUUUUUUGAUUUGAUUCAAAUUCAAACUUACAACUAAAUUUAAAUUUAAAUUUGUAGAUCAAAUUCCAAGUGCUUGAUUGAAUUAUAUUGUAAUUUAAUUUCUAAAUCAAAAUCUAGAAUUAAAAUUUUAAUUUCUAAUUUAUUUUUAUAUUUUAAUUAAAAAUUAAAGGCACAAAUUUAAAUUUAAUUUUAAAUAAAAAUAUAAAAUAUAAUUAAGAUAUUUUUGUAAAGUGCAUUUUUUCUGCCUAAAUUCAACUUCCAAUCCGACUUUCUACACUGAAUUGAAAAAAAGGUAAAUGGAGAUUCACAUUCAUCCGAGAAUUGAAAUCUGAAUAGAACUCCGGCAUAUCAAACACUCACAAACGAAUUCGUCCAUUCCAAUUCUGAUUCUUGGAUAAAAAAGAGCGAACCAAAAACGCUCAUAAUUUCUAUGAUUCCUCUAGACAACCAAGAAACAUAUUUCCACAUAUAGUUUCUCAACUAAAUAGCAUUAGAUUGCUAUUAAUACCAAAAUGGGCUCUAACUUUAAUUAGCAAAGACAAAUGCAUAAAUAACACGCAGAUUCCACCUUCUAAACAAAGAGCGAAGGAUUUAAAUGCCCAUCGGCACAGACUGUAUCCAUCGUGUCGUAUCUUACCAACAAGAUAUUAUUACGAUAUAGCUCUUGUGCAGAUGGCGCAGUUCAAAAUCUUUUAUUCUUUAAAUUAGUAAAUAAUUUUCUCAAUAAAAUUCAAAAGAUUUGAUAAAUAUACAUAAUAAACAGUUAAAAUAUUUUAUUACUAAGGAAAAUAAAUAUACUAUGCCAUUAUGUGUCGGCACACAUAUUUUUUGUGACUGACAUGCAUUGGCACAGUCUGACACGCACCGUGCGAGCAAGCUUCCGACACGACUCCGCGCCACGGCAUUUAAAUCCUUGCAAAGAGCUACUUGGGCCAAAAGGAACUUUAUAAGACUUUGUUUGGGAUUGCGGAAAAGGUAAGAUUGACAAAUAUUCCAUUCCAUUUACUUCUACAAAAAUAUACUUUUGCUUAGAUCAAAACUAUUCGAUUCUAAUAUAAUUUUUGCGGUCCCACCAAAAAGCGAAAAAGCAAAUCCUAUAUACUUUUCCCCAACCUAAUAAAAAUAAAACCAUGCUCCCAACACUGUAGAAGAGUUGGAAAAUUUUCUACAAUGGAUAAAGAAAGGAAAUGAUCAAAAGUAAUAGACACUAUUGAAUAGUUUAAAAGAUGCAAAUGAAUCAAACCUCAGCAGGAAAUAUAAGCAUCCCUUGUUUCAGCUUCUAGCGCAUCAGAGAUCGCAACACGGUCUCGACUUCUGCUAAAGGCUGUCCAGCAUAUAGUUGAAGCUGGCCUUUUCUUACAACAAUUAACUUCAAUUCAUUCGACUCGACGGCCUCACUAAGCUCCUGCAAAACAUUCAGCAUCUACACUUUUUAGCAGUAGUUAUAAGAAUCGAAAGUCAAAAGAAGAGAAUCUUCUAUGCUUUUUUCAUCAUUAGUUACACUCAAAUACUCGUCGUUUUUAUACAUCGUGUUUGUGUCCGUAGAAAUUCUUACUUGAAUUGUCAGAGGAACAACGUCGGCACUGACGUCACCCAAGCCUUCGAAAAAUGACUCCAGCAAGUAGCAGAAAUUUGUCGCAUCACCACGAUCUUGAAAUGCAACUGUAUAGGAUGGAGAAUCGUCAUUUUCUGAAGACAAGUCCAUGUUUAACGAAUAAAGUCCUCUGGGGCCACUUCGCUCUACACCUCUGCGUAAAAAAAUUCCCUGAAAAUCAUUUUAACAAACAUUCAGAAAACUAAAAGUUUGUGGCGUGGAAGGGUUAAUUUAAAUAGAUACGACACAAGAACAGUAAAGUAGAUUGUGUAAAUGGUAAGUUUGUUACAUUUUAAUGCAUGUGACAUGAAAUGAAAAUUGCUUACUAGGACAUAUGGGAGUUUCAACCACCACGAUUUCUCUUCCGCAUCAAUAUCGUCAUUUUUCCUAUUCAUUUUCGCCGCUUUAAUGGGACUUUGAGUAUUCCGGUCAUCAAGCAUGAGUUUCUUUUCUUCUAUAGAUUUGUCAUGCCAACUAGAUGAAGCCGUUAAAGUUUCCAAAUUACGAAGAUUCCUUGGCGUCAAAGAGUUGGGAGGUCGUACUUCAUCUGUUUUAUGCAAUUGAGAAGACUCUUCCACAGGACUAUGAUAAGCAAUCUGCUGAUAACCGCCUAAAAUGGAUAAAUAAAUAAUUUUAUCGAAUAAUCAAUUGCAUUUUUACUAGAUAAAGAGUUUAAGCUAGAAAUCUGCAUGCCAUUCUUAAUCCACUAUAUUCUAUCUGAAGUUCAUGGUUUUAGGCAACUUAGUUAUUUGCUCAUCAUGCAGCGAUUAUGCCCUCCUUGAUGUGGUCUAUCAGAGGUUGCAAAAAAGGGAAGGUCUUAGGAUAUAUGUGACACCCUAAUAGUCCCACAUCGGAUAGAAAAAAAAUUAUAUAUGAAAAUUAUAAGGACUAAGGACUCCAAUAAUAAUAACUAGGCUUAAUAUUUUGAGGCAGUGGUUUGAAACCCAACAUAGCGGUUUGGGGGCAGAAAGAUGUGAAACUGAGAAAAUGAACAUGAGAAUGUACUAUUGCAUAAUUGUUAAGAACCACAUGCAUAACUAAAGAUUUAGGUGAUUUUCUUAGUACAAGCCAUGGAUAUUGGAUAAGAAUCAUUGUACUCUAAAGGCAUGUUUGUUUCAUUGAAACUGGACGGGCAUGUUUGUUUUAUUGAAACUGGACUUUCGGUAAGUGGAGUUCAGGUAAAAAGUAUUUCUCCCCUGAUGUUUGUUUCAUAACUAUGGAAAUGAAGUUUCUUCAGUUCUGCCGUUUGUUUGGCGGAAAGUAAAUAAUGUAAAGCUAUAAUUUAUGUAUAAAUAAAAAAUAACUUGAUAAAUAAUAAAUUAUAAUAUAAUAAAUAAAAAUAAUAUAAUUAUAUUCCUAUAUAAUUAAAAUGUUUAAUCUAAACAACUAAAUUAUUUUUUAAACAACUAAAUUAUUUUUCAUACAUAAAUUAUAAUAAUACAACAAUAAAAUUAUAAAUUACUAAAAUGAAGGAAAUACUAAAACUUAACUAAUCAAUUUUUAUCAUAUUUUAAAUAUGCAAACUAAAGAAAAGAGCAAUUAGUACCAUAAUUAAAUAUACUUAAAUAUAACUAGCAUUACCCAUUGUAUUAUUUUAUUAUUUGUUCCUUCACCUCUCUUCACCGUAAUUGACUUCGGCCCAUUCGGCCCAUGGUGGGCCGAAGUCAAUUACGGUAUUUUCGGUAACUCGAAUUUCGACUGUAUUUUUAUUACAGUGAACCAAACAGCAGAAGUGAUUGUUUAUGACUGAAAACAGCUUCACCCCUCUCCACUUUCACCCAAACAAACAAGCCCUAAGAACGUGAGACACAAUGGAAAUAUGGUGGAUAUGGCACUCAAAGCUAAUUGUAUACUAAGUUCACAUGGGGAAAUGAGUUAAAUCAACAAGAAACAAACAAAUAUUACACAUUUCAAACAGAUUCAACUAAUGUAAACAUAAAAGAAAGAGAAUUUUAUACCAUUUGCAUCAUCAUCAUCAUCAUCUUUAACCUCUGAACCCCCAAAUCCAUUGGAAACAUUUCUACUCUUCGCAUUCGAGCUCAAAGCUUCGAGCUUUCUCUUUUCAUUUGAUUCCCCUGUCUCCCUCUUUCCAUUCAAACUCAUCGAAUUCGUAGAAGAACUCUUCUUCGAACGAGCGAGCCCUCGACCGAUUUCGUCCCUAAUUCCAUCCUUACCGGCCGCAAGAUCCCUCCUUUCCUUCUCCCUCACCUCCUUCACCAUUGCUCUUAUCAAUUGCAACCUUCUUUCGAACUCCGAAACCUCGCCGACUACUCUGCCCACAUGUCCCUCCACCCUCCCCUGUUCCAAACCCUCCCUCCUCUUCUCCAAGCUCCCAUUGCCGCGGCCACUGCCGAGGAACCAAACAGCGGCAAGGGUUUGAACAACAAGAAGGAGAGCGAAUCGCAAACCUAGGUCGAGAACCGGGUUCGGGAGCCAUCGAUGCGCAGGCGCGGGGGGGAAUGGGUCGGCCGCUUCUUCGAGGGCUUCGACCUCCGCUCCGAGGACGGGGAGGUGGGCAAUGGCGGAGGCUUCACGGGCCUCAUCGAGCUGAGAGUUUUGAGGAGGGGUUUGGUGGGUUUGUAGGGGGAGAGGAGGUGGGUUUUGGGGAGGCGUUUCUAGGGUUUUGGGGAGCUUGAUGCGGAGGUGGUUGCGACGCUUGGUGAGGGGUUUGGGGGAGGGGAGUGGGGAGGAGUGGAGGCCUCUAAUGGCGCUUCUUUGAGGAGAGGAGGGAAGGGAGAGGAAGAAGAGGAGAGGGGAUGAGGAGGAGCCCAUGACCAUGGUGAGGGUUUCACCAUGGCUUUGCGAAAAUGAAGGAGAUAAUGGAAAUGAAGGCCUUGUGUAGUGAUGAGUGUAUUUUUACAGAGUGUUAUUUGCAUAUACCUUCCUGCAAACAUAGUAAAUUACGAAAAUAUUCCUGCAAAACGGAAACUCCAUAAGCUGUCCCUGCAAAAGUCCUAAUUUAUGCAGAUAUGUCCCUCUGCUGUUUAUUUUUUAACAGUUUUCAUGUAAAAUGAUCAUUUUGCCCUCACAAAUAUAUCCCUCCAAAAGCAUCUUCCCCCUUUCUUUCUCUUCCUCUUCCUCUUCGGGCCGCCGGAGCGGAUGGCGACGACGGCGCGGGUCGAGUUCGCCGGCGACAAAGAAGAGGGAAGAGAAAGAAUGAGAGGAAGAAAAAAAGGGAAGAGGAAGAAGGAGAGGAAGAGGGAGAGGAAGAGGGAAGAGAAAGAAGAAGAGGGAAAGGGUUCGUCCGGCGACGAAGAAGAGGGAAGAGGAAGAGGAAGAGGAAAAGAAAGAGGGAGAGGAAGAAGAAGAGGGAAAGGGAGAGGGUUCGCCGCUGCCGUCGCAUCUUCUCCCUCGCCGGCGAUGAAGAAGAGGGAAGAGGAAGAGGGAGAGGAAGAAGAAGGGAGAAAAGGGAAGAGGGAGAGGAAGAAGAAGGAAAAGAAAGAGAGAGGGUUCGCCGUCGCUGCCGUCGUCGCCGCCGUCGCUGCCGCCGCUGCCCUCGCCGGCGACGAAGAAGAGGGAAGAAGAAGAGGGGGAAGAAGAAGAAGGGUAGAAUCGUAAAUUUACCUUAUAAUUAACCAUGGUUAAGUACUUUAACCGUGGUUAACGAAAAUUUUCUAACAGUCCUUAACGGCAGGGACAUAUCUGCAUAACUUUAGACUUUUGCAGGGAUAACUUAUGGAGUUUCCGUUUUGCAGGGAUAUUUCCGCAAUUGACUAUGUUUGCAGGGACCUGUAUGCAUUUAACCCUUUUACAAACUUGGUUGAGGAUGGAAAGGGGUUUGGGAUGUCAAUGGGUAUGGAUUACCCGAAAUAUUAUCCGAAUCCGAACGGGACGGGUUUAUUCGAGCUAAAUGGGUAUGGAUUCGAUUAUGGGCAUAAAAAAUAAAAAACCCGACGGAUAUGAAUACAGGUAUGGAUUUUAUAUUUACCCGACCCGAACCCAAACUCGACCCAAACCCGAACCCGAACCCGAACCCGAAUAAAUUAUAUAUAUACAUACUUUAUUUUUAUUUAUUAUAUAAAAUGUAAAAUAUUUAAUAGUUUUAUCUCUUACAUCUUCAUUCAACGGUAUAGAUUUUUAAAACCCGCCGGGUCCGGGUCCGGGUCCUGGUUCGGGUUUCGGGUUUUUGGUCAGGUACGGAUAUGCGUAUGGAUUUUUAAAACCCGCCGGGUCCGGGUCCGGGUCCUGGUUCGGGUUUCGGGUUUUUGGUCAGGUACGGAUAUGCGUAUGGAUUUUUAAAACCCGCCGGGUCCGGGUCCGGGUCCUGGUUCGGGUUUCGGGUUUUUGGUCAGGUACGGAUAUGCGUAUGGAUUUUUAAAACCCGCCGGGUUCAGGUCCGGGUACGAAUUUUAAUUUGGUUUUCGGGUUCGGAUUUUUAAAAACCCGACCCAAACCCAACCCGUUGACAUCUCUAAAAUGUGUGGUUAAUUGCACCAUUGCCCCCCAAAUUUGCACAUUCAUUUUAGUACCCCUUUUUUUAUCUAUUUUUGGAUAAAUUAUACUUUUGGUUAUCAAAUUUUAAUUCAUUAAUAAUUUUUUAUUUAAAAAUUUUAAAUUAUUAUAAUCAAAUUUUAUAACUCAUUUUAGGGUCUCCUUUAAUAUUUUCUUCUCCUUUUUGUACUAUAGCCGAAGUGUCAUUCGGCAAUCUUUUUUUCGCCCUCACUUAUCUCCUCCUCCAAGCACCAUGUUUCUGGCUCUUCUAUCUUUCCUUUCACGUAUGUCUUGUCAGCGAUUGUGCUUCAUAGUAGCCUUUGCGCCAUCACCCUUUCGCCGACACUGCACUUCCCCUUUGCUAUAGUACUAGGCACCUUUUCGUCGUCUUAUUCGUACUAUGUGCAGUAAUUAGGGACAUUCUCAAGAGACGCCUCAUCCCUUCCAAGGUCAACCUAUGUUCUCCGUUUUCUUACCUUAAGAUUGUUUCGUGCUUUUCACCAUUCGAAGUUUUCAGACUUUCAACCAGAAUUCUGUUCCUACUCACACGGCUACUAGCCAAAGUCAUCCUUUACCCGAAGCUUUUCGAGUUUUGGCACAUCCUUAUAUUAAGCGCAAGGCAUCACCUUGCUGAAGCCUCUGUUCGUGCGACCCACGUGGCACACUCUAGCCCGCUUGUUCGUUGUUGCUAAAAGUAGGUAUCAACACAAAGAGAUAUGCCAAACAAGAUAUUUAUGAUAAAUCUUUAUAGGUAUGUGAAACAACAAUAAAAAAUUAAAUAUAUACCAAAAUUCAGGAUCAUAAACAAAAUAAAAGAACUCACAUAGGGCCAUAUAGAAGAUAUUCUUGAUCAAUCUGCAGAUGCGAGAAGUCUGGCUAUAAUCUAAAUGUCACCAAUCAAACUUCGAUAAUCUGGUUUCUCCUUUUUUUUCAGACACUCUCCGUAUGCUGUAGAACAGAUGAUAAUUAUUCACCAAAAUACGUACGAGAAGGUGACAUGACCAAUAUCUCUUUUAUAUAGAGUCCAGAUCAACUUCCCAUUAAAGUCUGAUAAGGAUUCUAUUUAAUUUGAAUAGAUGCAAAAGAGAUAAGAUAUAUCAUAUCAAAUAAUUCUAUAUCUAUUAGGAUUGACCUUUAUCUACAGUAAAUCCAAAUUUAAAUAUGAUUAAUUGGCCUCAUUUAUAAAAAUUCUAACAAUUUAUGCAUCCAAGGGCCUAAAUAAUUUUAAAAUCACUAUUCUAGCUAUAGGGUAUUUUUAUUUUGUUAUUUAAUUUUUUGAAUUAUUUGCUUUGUUACUUGACGUCUUUGAAAAAUAAUACAUGUGCCUAAUGCUUAUGUAUAUUUAUGCACUAAAGCUUUAUCAUCUUUUCUCAUUUAGUAGUUGUAAUGACCUAACCUGUGUAAUUUAUAAAUUUUGAAUUUAAACUUUAAAUUUGAUAUUUUAACUUAAUUUAAAUUUUGAGACUUUAAAUUUGAUAUUUUUGAAUUAAUUUGAAUUUUGAAAAUUUAAAUUUUUAAUUUCAAGUUAGAAUUUUAAAUUGAUGAAGUUUUAGUCAACCAAUGGUCAACCGUCAGAGCUUUUUGUUUGACCGACCUCGGCCACUAGCCUCCAGCUAUUUCUUUCUACUAUUUUUUCUCUUUUGUUCAUCUCCUGCCCAUGCGAAAGGAUGAGAGCACGUGUUCCUCCCUGUGUAAACUCUUUUCUUUUUUUCUUCCCUCCCCAUUCAUGUCCACUCUCUAAUUCUUCCUCUUUCUCUUUUUUCUUCCCUCUCUUCCUUCCUCUCUUCUUCUUUUUCCUCUAUCUCCACUCCUUUUAUUUUCUUUUUCUCUCUACUUAGCUAGCCACCCUUUUCUUUCACUCUUGAAUCUUGACGCUUUUAAUCCUACCUUGAGCUCACACCGGAAUAGUGGCUAAGGCUCUCCUUUCAUAAGGGUUUUGGCAAGAUAGGGGACCAAGCUUGAGAGUCCUAUAUUGUAGCACCAACUUCAAUUAGGAUAAACUUGGAACUUAGCCAAAAUCUUUGUUUUUCAUCAAAUGAUGUACAUUGAUGUUUUGAAAGUUUUUAAUGAAAAUUUUAGGUUGUGUUGCUAUUUGGAAAUGAGUUAGUUAUGAUAUAUCUUUGGUUUAGUAAAAUUCAGAAUUGAACUAUAGUUUAUGAUAACUAAAUGGUAGACCAACCACUCCACCACGCUCCACCACGGUCGAUCAAUGAGAUGGCUAACGGAAGCUAUAGCUUUGGUCUUCGAAUGAAUGACUACCAUCAUAGUCUUGAUUGACCUUUACCCCGGUCGACCAUUUGUGAGAUGAAGAUUGAUUAUGGACAACAGAAUGAGCUAAACUCGUGGUUUUUUUUUUCUUUAGUUUUCUUGGCUAGCUUCAUUAGGAGCUAUGGAGAGUCUUCUUUAUUGAUUUAAUUAGUGCUUCUGUUUUUCUUUAGGAUUGAUUAAGGAUCUCUUCACCUCACUUUUAUCUUUUAUUUUCUGAGAACCUUAUUGAUACUGAUGAAUAGAAGAUUUCUCUCCAAGUUACGUCACUAAAAUUAAAAUAAUCCUCCUUUCUAAGUUAUUUUAAUUUUUAUUUUAUUGUCCAUAUCUACUCAUAUGAGAGAUUGUAUUUGAAAAAUUGCACUUUCUUUAUGAAUAUAUUAUCUUGUUAUUAGAUUGUUGGUAUAUGAACUGACAUAAACAUGCAUAUCUUUUUAGAAAAUUCCUCGAUGACUUAGCUUUCAAGAUUCAACCUACAUUUAUAAUAGGGGCAAUUGCUUAUAUACCCCUGAAAAGUUUCCGACUUUUCGAUUUACCCCUCUUAGAAGGCUAAUAUUGAAAAUACCCUUUCUACGUUCCAACCUAUUUCUAAUAUAUCCCCAGAGUUAAAAUUUGUUAAUUAACUCUGUUAUCUCUGUAAAAUUACUAUUUUGCCCUUUCAAAUAUACCCUUCCACAAUCACUGACUUUCUUAUAUGCCCUUAAAAUCAGGGGCACAAAAAGUAUUAUGACUUUUGGUCUUUUCUAAUAUACCCCUCUAUCGUCACCAACAUUUCUUAUUUGCCCUUAAGUUAAGGGCAAAAUUGGUAUUUUAAUUUUUUUUUUAUCUAUGGUAGAUAUUUAACUCACGUUUAAUCCAAGUUAACUUAACAGGAGAUAACUGAGGGGGUAUUUUAUAAUAACGGUGGAAUAUAUGAGGAGUAUUUUAGAAAGAAAAAAAAGGUAGGGAUAAAUCGGAUAUUUUCAAACGUAUGACGGGUAUAUAGACAAUUAUCCCUUUAUAAUAUCUAUAAAUACUAGUCCGCAUAUUUAACUUUCAGGGCUUGUUUAACACAUAAAAGUAAUAUUCGACAUCCUAAUUACAUUGUUAUGAGUUGAACUUAAGAAUUUGGAUAUUAUACGCUUCAUCAUUGAAUGAUUUGAUUGAAUAACAUCACUUACUGAAUAUGCCCUUCUAUUUACAUUAGUGGAAAUUGUUAAUUUCGAUAUUUUAUCAUACUAUUUAACACAAUUAUAUAAUUUCUUGGACAUCUAUCUUAGAUACUUUCGUUGUAUUUAUAAGAAUGGAGUUAGAUAUAGGUUUUAUGUGAUGAGGGCUAUGGUGUCAUUGUGGAGUAUUAUGGUCACGGUUGUUGGUGAUGUGUCUCAGUUUAUAACGGGGGUCGGGAUCAAGAAUCCGGUUAUUUGAUAUUUAAGAUCAUUAUGACUUUUGGCCUAUAUUGUAAAUAAACGUUAGAUAUAAUAUAGGAUGUGGAGUAGAAUUUAGAUUACUACAAUUUAGACAGAUGUCGAAUGUUGCUAGGAGGGUGAGGAGCUGCACUCCGAUGGACUGUCCGAGGACAAUGAUUAUACUAUGGACGGAUGUUGUUGAUAAAUGAAUGUAAGUAUCAUAUGCCUAAAAUAUGUGUUGGGUAUGAACAAAGUGUAGUAUCAUGAACAUGCAGUGCAUGAGGAUUAUUUACUAUAUGGAUAUUUCAUAUCAUUAGUAGGAUGAACAAUGUACGCCUGAAAUGAGUGCAACGUAGUUAUGAUUACUAUUUUGAAAAUAAUGUACGCCUGAGAUGAAUGUUGAGUAUAUUAUGACCACUAUUCUUCAAAUAAUAUAUGCUUGAAAUGAAUGUCAAAUACAUUAUAAUUGUUAUUUUAGAGUGUUACGCUGUGUGUGAAGGUGAAUGAUAUGAUUUUGGAGUAAAUUAAGAUGCAUUGUGGGAGUGAUAUGCCAGAUGAAUAUUUCAUAUCUCUAGUGGGAUAAAUAGCGUACACCUAAGAUGAGUGUAAGAUACGUUAUGACUUCUAUUUUGAAAAUAACGUACGACUGAGAUGAAUGCCAAAUAUAUUAUGACUAACGUGUGCUUGAAAUAAGUGUUAGAUAUGUUAUAAUCAUUAUUCUGGAGUAUUGUGCUAUGUACGAAGGUAGGUGGCAUGGUUUUGGAGUAGAUUAGGGUGUAGGGUGCAGGGUAUGAACUUACAAUCAUGGGGAUGAUAUGUUAGAUAGAUAUUUUAUAUUACUAGUGGGAUGAAGAAUUAACGUAUGCCUGAAAUGAGUGCAAGAUAUAUUAUGACCACUAUUUUGAAAAUAACGUACAAUUGAUGAGAUGAAUAUAGAGUCAUUAUGACCACUAUUCUUUGGAAUAAUGUAUGCUUAAAAUAAGUGUAAGGGACAUUAUAAUCGCUAUUCUAGAGUGUUAGUUGUGUAUGAAGAUUGGUGGUAUGGUUUUGAAUUAAAUUAGCGUGGAGCUCGUUGGUAUUUGACUGUCAUAUUGUGAUCGAGUUGAGUUUUUUUUUCGGUAUUAGUAAUGUAGAAUUUUUUUUCUUUAUUUGUUAUUGGUUUUAUAUUUUUUGAUCUAGACUUUUUUCAUAUUUGAAAAGUAUUAUAUCAUAUCAUUAUUUAUUAAUUAAUUAAUUCAAUUAAUUAUUAUUUUUUUGAGAUGGUAUCCUAAUCACAUGAGUCUUGUGCUCAGGCUUGCGCUGGCAAACACGAGAUAUGGCCUUCUAAACACAUCCAGCAUGACCUAUUUUUGGAAACAUGUGGUAUCUACAUUAUUACUAGUUACAUACCUUCCUUUUCUUUCUUUCCUUGUGCAUGCAUGUAGAUAUAUAUUUUUUGCUUGUAUCGAUCAUUUUCUACAGCUUUGAUGUAUAUGUAUUUAGACAUUUAUUUUAUAUUUAUACUUACAUAUGUAUACACGUCAUUUUGAUUUGUAUCAUUUGUGUUUAUUUUCUUUAUCAUUUCUGCUUAAUCUUUUCGUGAUCUUCUUCUAUAUAAUGGUUCUUAUUGUAAUCUUGAUUACUCUCCAUAGAGCUUUUUGUUGUCAACUCAGUAUGCAAUGCAAAUAAGCCUUGCACACCCAUAAGUUUUGAGUUUAAUUAAAACUAGCAAUUAACUCAUGCAAUGCAUGAAAUAGCAACCAAAUUUUAAUUAUAAUAACUUAUAGUAAAAAAAUAAUGUGUUACCCAAAAAUAUUGCACUCUUAAACCUUUUAUUCAUAAAAGCAUAUAGAAACUAAAACUUAAACUUACUUUCUAAGCAAAUCAAAAGAACAAUAAUAUCUUACUCUUUAUGUGGAGGUAAGCGAUGAAAAAGAGAGAAUAAAAAAAGAAUAACAAAACUAACCUGUUAUCUUUUUUGAAAGAGUCUAAAUAUUGCUAAAAAAUUUAUUGGUGCUCACCCGCCAAGAUAAUAAAAUUGUCCAAAUUGUCUGUUCAUUGUGAUAAUUGGCAUGAUAUAUAAUUUAAAAAAGAAAAUAACAUAAUAUAUAAUUUGAAAAAAAAAUUAUGAAGGCUAAAUUAUAGAAAACCCCCCUGUCAAAACCCGCUUUUUCAUUCCUCUACCAUGUCAUUUAAAAAUCUACACUUUGCUCUCUUAAAAAUAAAAAAUAUUCAGAAGGGGGGUACAGUGUUAAUUGUAUUGACAAAAUGACCAAAAUGCCCUCUCCAUCUUCGUAUUCUCCCCUACGCUGCUUCAUCUGUAGCCUCUCCACCUUCGUCCUUUGUGCCUCCCUCGACCCCAUCUCUCCCUCCGCCGCCCCGCCCUCACUCUGCUUCAUUAGGCAACGGUGGGAAGAGGUCGGGUUGGGUGAGGGUGAGGCGGCGGAGGAGGCGAGGGCAUGAGUGUGGGCGCGGACGAAGGGAUAGGCGAGAGGGAGAUGGUGGAGGAGGGCAAGACGACACGACCGACAACGUCAUCAGUAAGGGGAGGAAGGCGGCGCUGCUGAGAAGGGAUAGAAGGGUAUUUUAGGUAUAAAAAAUAUAAUAAUGGGAUAUAGAUGGAACCCUAACGGAACACUGAUGGCGGGGUCGGAAGUAAAUAUUUUUAUUUUUUAAGGGGACAUAGUAUAGGUUUUUAAAUGACAGGAAAAAAAGUGAAAAAAGUGAGUUUUGUCAGGGGGCUUUUCUGUAAUUUAACCAAUUAUGAAAGGGUAGAUUAUUUCAUGAAAUGAGAAAAAUAAGCUAAAAGGUUAUGCCAAGGAGAGGUGCAAAAUAGCAAGACCUCAUUUUGCAUGAUGUAUUUCUUUCUUUGAAAAUUUUUGUAUAUUUAUUAUGAUUAAUAAAGUUCGAGAGUUAUACUCAAAAUUUUGUAAUGAAAAGAGAGUUAAUUAAGAUUCAUAAAACUUGGGAGUUAUAUCAAGAAAAUUUAUAACAAAAGAGAGCACUUCAAAUGGGUAGCAAUCAUUUACUUUAAAUUUCUUAAUGAUCAAUAGUAUCUAUUACUAUAGCGGUAUAGUCCAAUCUCUCUACCUAUCCUUAGCAAUUAAUCGAUUAUUAGAAUUAA
rnacentral:lncRNA from 1 species